AUUGAACGCUGGCGGCAGGCCUAACACAUGCAAGUCGAGCGGAUGAAAGGGGCUUGCUCCUGGAUUCAGCGGCGGACGGGUGAGUAAUGCGCAGGAAUCUACCUAGUAGUGGGGGAUAACGUUUCGAAAGGAACGCUAAUACCGCAUACGUUCUGAGGAAGAAAGCAGGGGAUCGUAAGACCUUGCGCUAUUAGAUGAGCUUGCGUCCGAUUAGCUAGUUGGUGGGGUAAAGGCCUACCAAGGCGACGAUCGGUAACUGGUCUGAGAGGAUGAUCAGUCACACUGGAACUGAGACACGGCCCAGACUCCUACGGGAGGCAGCAGUGGGGAAUCUUAGACAAUGGGCGCAAGCCUGAUCUAGCCAUGCCGCGUGGACGACGAAGGCCUUAGGGUUGUAAAGUCCUUUCAGAUGGGAAGAUAAUGACGGUACCAUCAGAAGAAGCCCCGGCUAACUCCGUGC
rnacentral:rRNA from 1 species